rnacentral:tRNA from 1 species
GCCGGUUUAGCUCAGGGGUAGAGCAACCGCCUUGUAAGCGGUAGGUCGUGAGUUCAAAUCCCACAACCGGCACCA